CCAUCAAGGAUAAAUGCUUGCUUGCUACUUACAUCCUCCCUCACAGCUAACAUAGUAAGGGCUCAAUUCUGCAAGAUGCUUGGUCACUCGUUUGAUGUCCUAGAUGCCUUCAGCUACCACUAGUGGCAUUCAGCACCUCACAGAUACGCUCAGCACCGUUAGUGCCCAUGGGCCAAUCGGCAACAGGUGUCCCUUCUGCUAGACAUUGUGCAAACACAGAAUAAGAGUGAAUCCCUGCCCUGAGGAGUUUACAGUCUAAACAGACAAGACAGAAACAGGGAGGGUUACCUUCACAAAAGACACCAUGCUACAAGCUUUUUGGCACAGUCAGGAGGCCAUCAUGAGUUGCUAAAGCAGCUGCUGCAAAUCAGCCUGUUAUUUUGGCAAUCUCAAUUGCCCGUGAACUCUAGAUCUCACUUCCUUCAUGUUAUUAUUUCUUGGCACAUAAUUGUCAACAGGUGUGAUUAAAUGUGAUGAGAAGGCA